rnacentral:rRNA from 1 species
UACGGGGGGAGCAAGCGUUGUUCGGAAUUACUGGGUGUAAAGGGUUCGUAGGCGGUGUAGCAAGUCGGGAGUGAAAUCUCUGGGCUUAACCCAGAGGCUGCUUCCGAAACUGCUGUGCUUGAGUGUGGGAGAGGCGCGUGGAAUUGCAGGUGUAGCGGUGAAAUGCGUAGAUAUCUGCAGGAACACCCGUGGCGAAAGCGGCGCGCUGGACCACUACUGACGCUGAGGAACGAAAGCUAGGGGAGCAAACAGG